rnacentral:rRNA from 1 species
GACGAACGCUGGCGGCGUGCUUAACACAUGCAAGUCGAACGGAAAGGCCCUGCUUUCGUGGGGUGCUCGAGUGGCGAACGGGUGUGUAACACGUGAGUAACCUGCCCUUGACUUUGGGAUAACUUCAGGAAACUGGGGCUAAUACCGGAUAGGAGCUCCUGCUGCAUGGUGGGGGUUGGAAAGUUUCGGCGGUUGGGGAUGGACUCGCGGCUUAUCAGCUUGUUGGUGGGGUAGUGGCUUACCAAGGCUUUGACGGGUAGCCGGCCUGAGAGGGUGACCGGCCACAUUGGGACUGAGAUACGGCCCAGACUCCUACGGGAGGCAGCAGUGGGGAAUAUUGCACAAUGGGCGGAAGCCUGAUGCAGCAACGCCGCGUGCGGGAUGACGGCCUUCGGGUUGUAAACCGCUUUCACCUGUGACGAAGCGUGAGUGACGGUAAUGGGUAAAGAAGCACCGGCUAACUACGUG